rnacentral:tRNA from 1 species
CGGGACGUGGCCUAGCUUGGCUUAAGGCGCCACACUGGGGGUGUGGAGAUCGGGAGUUCGAAUCUCCCCGUCCCGA